rnacentral:tRNA from 1 species
CCUGAUGGCUCAGAUGGUAAAGCAUCUGCCUGCAAUGCAGGAGACCCAGGUUCAAUUCCUGGGUCAGGA